UUUCUUUUGUUUUUACACCUGACACCAUGUUUUAUAUGUUGUUUAUUAAAAAAAAGUCUUCUUGUGAUAAGCCAUCUUUAUUACAUCCUGUUCAUAUUUUCACUGUUGACAAUGUUGCCAAUGCCAUCAACCUUAUUAACCCUAAUAAGAAUAGAGGUGUGUUGCCAUAUACAACAUAGUGAUUUUUUUUGCAGUAAGUG
rnacentral:misc_RNA from 1 species